UACGAAGGGGGCUAGCGUUGCUCGGAAUCACUGGGCGUAAAGGGUGCGUAGGCGGGUCUUUAAGUCAGGGUGAAUCCUGGAGCUCAACUCCAGAACUGCCUUUGAUACUGAGGAUCUUGAGUUCGGAGAGGUGAGUGGAACUGCGAGUGUAGAGGUGAAAUUCGUAGAUAUUCGCAAGAACACCAGUGGCGAAGGCGGCUCACUGGCCGAUACUGACGCUGAGGCACGAAAGCGUGGGAGCAACAGG
rnacentral:rRNA from 1 species